rnacentral:rRNA from 1 species
AUGGCAUUUCAAGAACCAAAGAAAUGGGCAGCCUGGCUUCCACUAGCUGAAUGGUGGUAUAACACCUCUUACCAUACUGCAACAAGAGAAACACCAUUCAAAGCUCUCUAUGGCUAUGAUCCACCUAUGAUCAGUGAAGUGGCUAUCCCCGGCCCGUCUGAUGCUCAAGCAAAAGAUUUCCUAAGUGACAAACAGAACACCCUGCGCCAGCUCAAGCACAACUUACAACAAGCCCAAGAGAGGAUGAAGAAAUAUGCUGAUAUCAACAGAUCUGAGAGAAAAUUCAAAGUGGGGGACAUGGUCUACUUACGAAUGCAACCGUAUAGAAUGGCUUCUUUUGGACUCAGGCAAGCCAUUAAACUCACAACCAAGUUCUAUGGGCCAUUCCGAGUGAUGGAAAAAAUUGGGAACUGCUCAUACAGGUUGCUACUCCCCCCCCAAAUCACUAUUCAUCCUGUGUUUCACGUGAGCCAAUUGAAGGCACACAAGGGAACCCAUGCUGUUCCUGCGCAAGAACUGCCACUGAUUGGAGCUGAUGGGAGAAUCAGAACAGAGCCUGUACACGUACUGGAAACUCGAUCACUGCCGCGCAAUGGCGUUUUGGUCACCCAGUGGUUAAUACAGUGGGCAAACUUGCCUCCCGAGGAGCCCUCCUGGGAAGAUGCCAAUUUCAUCAAAAGAGUAUUUCCAGUAUUCUUCAAAAGCACCAUCCAAUCUUGGUUUCCUGACAGUAACACUUGA